rnacentral:tmRNA from 1 species
GGGGGCGUACCGGUUUCGACGGGAAUGCCGCGGUUCAUAGUUGCGCGCCGAGGAGGUUACGGAUCCUCGUUAAUCCCCGUGACACAUGUUAGUCGCCAACGACUACAACUACGCUGUCGCCGCCUAACUAGCGGUCUGAGAGCCGUCCGUCCACUUUAGUCUGCGGGGUGGGUUACGGGCGUCAUGCACGCGGGCUAGCCGAGGGGAGGCGCCGAUUGGCCCCAAGGCGAAACAAAGAUCGGCUGGCGCUCCCCCCGCCUGUCGCUGGGCUACGGGGGAGGGCGAGAUAAAGAAUCGGCGAAUACGCGCGUAGACGCUAUGGAUCAGGAUUUUCGGACAGGGGUUCGACUCCCCUCGCCUCCACCA